rnacentral:rRNA from 1 species
GUGCCAGCCGCCGCGGUAAAACGUAGGUGGCGAGCGUUAUCCGGAUUUACUGGGCGUAAAGCGUGUGCAGGCUGCUUGCCAAGUGGUGUAUGAAAUCGCCCGGCUCAACCGGGUGGGGUUAUGCCAGACUGGCGGGCUAGAGUCUGAAAGAGGGGGGUGGAAUUCCGGGUGUAGUGGUGAAAUGCGUAGAGAUCCGGAGGAACCCCAGAGGCGAAGGCGGCCCCCUGGUUCAGGACUGACGCUCAGACACGACAGCAUGGGGAGCGAACGGGAUUAGAAACCCUCGUAGUCC